rnacentral:rRNA from 1 species
CCUACGGGAGGCAGCAGUGGGGAAUAUUGCACAAUGGGGGAAACCCUGAUGCAGCAACGCCGCGUGAGCGAUGAAGGCCUUCGGGUCGUAAAGCUCUGUCCUAAGGGAAGAAUACUGACGGUACCUUAGGAGGAAGCGCCGGCUAACUACGUGCCAGCAGCCGCGGUAAUACGUAGGGUGCUAGCGUUAUCCGGAAUUACUGGGCCUAAAGGGUGCGGAGGCGGCCCUUAAAGACAGAGGAGAAAGGCAACGGCUCAACCGUAGUAAGCUUUGGAAAGUGUAGGGCGUGAGUGCAGGAGAGGAGAGUGGAAUUCCCAGUGUAGCGGUGAAAGGCGUAGAUAUUGGGAGGAACACCAGUUGCGAAGGCGGCGCUCUGGACUGUAACUGACGCUGAGGCACGAAAGCGGGGGGAGCGAACAGGAUUAGAUACCCGGGUAGUC